AGUAACGCGUGGAUAACCUGCCUCACACUGGGGGAUAACAGUUAGAAAUGACUGCUAAUACCGCAUAAGCGCACAGUACCGCAUGGUACAGUGCGAAAAACUCCGGUGGUGUGAGAUGGAUCCGCGUCUGAUUAGCCAGUUGGCGGGGUAACGGCCCACCAAAGCGACGAUCAGUAGCCGACCUGAGAGGGUGACCGGCCACAUUGGGACUGAGACACGGCCCAA
rnacentral:rRNA from 1 species